CCUACGGGUGGCAGCAGUGAGGAAUAUUGGUCAAUGGACGGAAGUCUGAACCAGCCAUGCCGCGUGCAGGAUGACUGCUCUAUGAGUUGUAAACUGCUUUUGUACAAGGGUAAACCUGAAUACGUGUAUUCAUCUGCAAGUACUUUAUGAAUAAGGAUCGGCUAACUCCGUGCCAGCAGCCGCGGUAAUACGGAGGAUCCAAGCGUUAUCCGGAUUUUUUGGGUUUAAAGGGUGCGUAGGUGGAUUGAUAAGUUAGUGGUGAAAUUUUCGGGCUUAACUCUGGAACUGCAUCUAAUACUGGUGAUCUAGAGAGUAGAUGCGGUAGGCGGAAUGUAUGGUGUAGCGGUGAAAUGCUUAGAGAUCAUACAGAACACCGAUUGCGAAGGCAGCUUACCAAUCUAUAUCUGACAUUGAGGCACGAAAGCGUGGGGAGCAAACAGGAUUAGAUACCCGAGUAGUC
rnacentral:rRNA from 1 species